rnacentral:tRNA from 2 species
CAGAGAAUAGUUUAAAUGGAGAAUGUUAGCUUUGGGAGUUGAUAGUAAGGGUUAAAAUCCCUUUUCUCUGA